CCUACGAGUGGCUGCAGUGAGGAAUAUUGGUCAAUGGGCGGAAGCCUGAACCAGCCAAGUAGCGUGCGGGAUGAAGGCCCUACGGGUCGUAAACCGCUUUUGCACGGGGAUAACACCCUCCACUUGUGGAGGUCUGCAGGUACCGUGCGAAUAAGGGCCGGCUAAUUCCGUGCCAGCAGCCGCGGUAAUACGGAAGGCCCGAGCGUUAUCCGGAUUCAUUGGGCUUAAAGGGAGCGUAGGCGGGCGUUCAAGUCAGCUGUAAAAGCGCGCGGCUCAACCGCGCCCCGCAGUUGAAACUGGACGCCUUGAGUUCACAACAGGCAGGCGGAAUUCGUGGUGUAGCGGUGAAAUGCAUAGAUAUCACGAGGAACCCCGAUUGCGAAGGCAGCCUGCCGGGGUGCGACUGACGCUGAGGCUCGAAGGUGUGGGUAUCAAACAGGAUUAGAUACCCCAGUAGUC
rnacentral:rRNA from 1 species